GCGUGCCUAAUACAUGCAAGUCGAGCGAACGGACGAGAAGCUUGCUUCUCUGAUGUUAGCGGCGGACGGGUGAGUAACACGUGGAUAACCUACCUAUAAGACUGGGAUAACUUCGGGAAACCGGAGCUAAUACCGGAUAAUAUUUUGAACCGCAUGGUUCAAAAGUGAAAGACGGUCUUGCUGUCACUUAUAGAUGGAUCCGCGCUGCAUUAGCUAGUUGGUAAGGUAACGGCUUACCAAGGCAACGAUGCAUAGCCGACCUGAGAGGGUGAUCGGCCACACUGGAACUGAGACACGGUCCAGACUCCUACGGGAGGCAGCAGUAGGGAAUCUUCCGCAAUGGGCGAAAGCCUGACGGAGCAACGCCGCGUGAGUGAUGAAGGUCUUCGGAUCGUAAAACUCUGUUAUUAGGGAAGAACAUAUGUGUAAGUAACUGUGCACAUCUUGACGGUACCUAAUCAGAAAGCCACGGCUAACUACGUGCCAGCAGCCGCGGUAAUACGUAGGUGGCAAGCGUUAUCCGGAAUUAUUGGGCGUAAAGCGCGCGUAGGCGGUUUUUUAAGUCUGAUGUGAAAGCCCACGGCUCAACCGUGGAGGGUCAUUGGAAACUGGAAAACUUGAGUGCAGAAGAGGAAAGUGGAAUUCCAUGUGUAGCGGUGAAAUGCGCAGAGAUAUGGAGGAACACCAGUGGCGAAGGCGACUUUCUGGUCUGUAACUGACGCUGAUGUGCGAAAGCGUG
rnacentral:rRNA from 1 species